ACAUUAAUACGUGUUUUUAGAUACAUCAUUACUUGUAUGGACUACUAUACAAAAUGGGCAGAAGCUGCUGCAUUGUACACCAAGUCUGCUGUAGAAGUUGCACAAUUCCUCACAACUUUGUUUUGCCGACACGGACUGCCCGUGCUUGUUAUGUCAGACCAAGGCAGGGAAUUUGUCAAUUGCCUCAACCACAAAUUAUUUGAAACAACAGGAGUCAACCAUCUAAUUUCAACAGCCUACCAUCCCCAAACCAACGGCCUGAUUGAGAAGUUCAAUCAGACGCUACAAAGAUCCCUUCUGAAGAUGGUUGGAGAGAACUAGGGUGACUGGUUCAAGUACUUGGACUCAGUAUUGUUUGCAUAUAAUACCAGUAAACAAGCAUCAUCAAAAUAUUCGCCAUUUUUCCUCCUUUAUGGACGAGACGCAAGACUUUCUGUUGAUCUGCUAGCAAAGCCGAAGGAAAUCACAGAUGAUGUCAUGACUUUCACUGUUACUGAUGAUGAACUUGAGUUGUCUGUACAACAAAUGGUCCAAUUGUGAAAGAUGGUGGACACCAAUGUGAAGAAAAACAUCUUAGAAGCACAAAAACGACAGAAACAGCAGUAUGACGCCAGACAUAAAAAAGAAGAAUACAAGGUUGGUGACAAUGUUCUACUACAGAACACCAAAAAACUUUCUCAUAAAGAAAGCAAGUAUGAGCAGAGUUGGAAAGAACCAUAUGAGAUUGCCGAGAGAGCUGGCAAAGGCAGAUAUUAUGUGAGAAAGCAGAAUGACAGUGCUAUAUGUAAAACCCUAUACAGUGCCACGAGACUUAAACCGUUCCAUCAACAACAGGAAUUUAGCCAAUUAACCUUCUGUACCAUCAGAGAGUAAAUUUAUAUCAGCGGGUAAAAGAUUUUGCUCUCAAAAUGAGGAGUCAGCAAAGAAACGAAAAAUGAGCAGACUAUUCUCAUCUGCAAGAAUUACUUCUUCAGUAGACAUACAAAAGAUCACGGAAAAUAGAGGUCGACUCGAAAAAAGAAUUCAGCUGUCUGGUCUAGCGUUUAGAGGGCAAAUGCCCACCGAUGGAAACUGUCUAUUUCAUGCAGUAGCAGACCAACUGCAGCGAAUUGAUUCCAACAACAAGCUCAGCCACAGUGAACUGCGUGACCUAGCAGUAACUUGUCUUAAAGAUCACCAAUUUGUUGAUUCAGUUGGUCAACCUCUAGACAUGGCCAAUUUUGUAGCUGGCAGAGAUUGGAAAAGCUACUUAGAUAAUCUUGCUCAAAACAGGACAUGGGGUGAUCACCUUGCAGUGAUGGCACUAGGAACAUCAUUAUCCCAUGACAUUCGAAUAGUUAGCAGUGUAUCUGGUCCUGAUGACCAUUUUGAAAUCAUCAUCGAACCAAAUGGCCACAAAGUUCGUCAUGAGGGACCUCUAAUUCUGGGGCACUAUGCCGAGAAUCACUACGAGAGUCUCGGUAUUUGUGAUGCUUGUGAGAAGAUUGUUGGCACAUCCAG